rnacentral:rRNA from 1 species
UUUAUGGAGAGUUUGAUCCUGGCUCAGGAUGAACGCUGGCGGCGUGCCUAAUACAUGCAAGUCGAGCGAACGGACGAGAAGCUUGCUUCUCUGAUGUUAGCGGCGGACGGGUGAGUAACACGUGGAUAACCUACCUAUAAGACUGGGAUAACUUCGGGAAACCGGAGCUAAUACCGGAUAAUAUUUUGAACCGCAUGGUUCAAAAGUGAAAGACGGUCUUGCUGUCACUUAUAGAUGGAUCCGCGCUGCAUUAGCUAGUUGGUAAGGUAACGGCUUACCAAGGCAACGAUGCAUAGCCGACCUGAGAGGGUGAUCGGCCACACUGGAACUGAGACACGGUCCAGACUCCUACGGGAGGCAGCAGUAGGGAAUCUUCCGCAAUGGGCGAAAGCCUGACGGAGCAACGCCGCGUGAGUGAUGAAGGUCUUCGGAUCGUAAAACUCUGUUAUUAGGGAAGAACAUAUGUGUAAGUAACUGUGCACAUCUUGACGGUACCUAAUCAGAAAGCCACGGCUAACUACGUGCCAGCAGCCGCGGUAAUACGUAGGUGGCAAGCGUUAUCCGGAAUUAUUGGGCGUAAAGCGCGCGUAGGCGGUUUUUUAAGUCUGAUGUGAAAGCCCACGGCUCAACCGUGGAGGGUCAUUGGAAACUGGAAAACUUGAGUGCAGAAGAGGAAAGUGGAAUUCCAUGUGUAGCGGUGAAAUGCGCAGAGAUAUGGAGGAACACCAGUGGCGAAGGCGACUUUCUGG